GUGCUUGCUUUGGCAGCACAUAUACUAAAAUUGGAAUGAUACAGAGAAGAUUAGCAUGGCCCCUGUGCAAGGAUGACAUGCAAAUUCGUGAAGUGUUCCAUAUUUUU
rnacentral:snRNA from 1 species